rnacentral:rRNA from 1 species
UGAACGCUGGCGGCGUGCCUAAUACAUGCAAGUAGAACGCUGAAGCUUGGUGCUUGCACCGAGCGGAUGAGUUGCGAACGGGUGAGUAACGCGUAGGUAACCUGCCUGGUAGCGGGGGAUAACUAUUGGAAACGAUAGCUAAUACCGCAUAACAGUCGACAUUGCAUGAUGUUGAUUUGAAAGGGGCAAUUGCUCCACUACCAGAUGGACCUGCGUUGUAUUAGCUAGUUGGUGAGGUAACGGCUCACCAAGGCAACGAUACAUAGCCGACCUGAGAGGGUGAUCGGCCACACUGGGACUGAGACACGGCCCAGACUCCUACGGGAGGCAGCAGUAGGGAAUCUUCGGCAAUGGGGGCAACCCUGACCGAGCAACGCCGCGUGAGUGAAGAAGGUUUUCGGAUCGUAAAGCUCUGUUGUAAGAGAAGAACGAGUGUGAGAGUGGAAAGUUCACACUGUGACGGUAUCUUACCAGAAAGGGACGGCUAACUACGUG